rnacentral:rRNA from 1 species
UAAGAGUUUGAUCCUGGCUCAGAACGAACGCUGGCGGUAUGCUUUAUACAUGCAAGUCGAACGAGAAAGCUUUUUCGGAAGUGAGUAGAGUGGCGAACGGGUGAGUAACACGUAGAUAAUCUACCUUUUAGACAGGGAUAACCAACCGAAAGGAUGGCUAAUACCAGAUAAGAGUAGGGUUGGUAGACGACCUUAUUUAAAAGAGAAAUCGCUAAGAGAUGAGUCUGCGGACCAUUAGUUAGUUGGUAGGGUAAGAGCCUACCAAGACAGAGAUGGAUAGCGGGUCUGAGAGGAUGAUCCGCCACACUGGAACUGAGACACGGACCAGACUCCUACGGGAGGCAGCAGUAGGGAAUUUUGCGCAAUGGGCGGAAGCCUGACGCAGCAAUACCGCGUGAGUGAAGAAGGCCUUCGGGUCGUAAAGCUCUUUAUCUAUGGGAAGAUAAUGACGGUACCAUAGGAAUAAGCACCGGCUAACUCCGUGCCAGCAGCCGCGGUAAUACGGAGGGUGCAAGCGUUGUUCGGAUUUACUGGGCGUAAAGGGUGCGUAGGCGGACGUGCAAGUUAAGGGUGAAAUCCCGGGGCUCAACCUCGGAACAGCUUUUAAAACUGCAUGACUAGAGUAAGAUAGAGGCAGAUGGAAUUCCUGGAGUAGCGGUGGAAUGCGUAGAUAUCAGGAGGAACACCAGAGGCGAAGGCGAUCUGCUGGGUCUUAACUGACGCUAAGGCACGAAAGCGUGGGGAGCAAACGGGAUUAGAUACCCCGGUAGUCCACGCUGUAAAUGAUGAAUACCAACUAUGUGAGGAAUCGACGCCGAACGUAGUGCAGCUAACGCGAUGAGUAUUCCGCCUGGGAACUACGGUCGCAAGACUAAAACUCAAAGGAAUUGACGGGGGCCCGCACAAGCGGUGGAGUAUGUGGUUUAAUUCGAUGCAACGCGAAGAACCUUACCUGAAUUUGACAUAUUCGGCAAUUUUUAGAAAUAAAGAGUUCUCUUAGGAGACCGGAAUACAGGUGCUGCAUGGCUGUCGUCAGCUCGUGUCGUGAGAUGUUGGGUUAAGUCCCGCAACGAGCGCAACCCUUGUCCUUAGUUACCAGCGAGUAGAGUCGGGAACUCUAGGGAGACUGCCAGCGUCAAGCUGGAGGAAGGAGGGGAUGACGUCAAGUCCUCAUGGCCUUUAUAUUCAGGGCUACACACGUACUACAAUGGCAACUACAAAGAGGAGCGAACUCGCGAGGGCAAGCAGAUCUCAAAAAAGUUGUCUCAGUUCGGAUUGUAAUCUGCAACUCGAUUACAUGAAGUUGGAAUCGCUAGUACUCGUGGAUCAGCAUGCCACGGAGAAUACGUUCCCGGGCCUUGUACACACCGCCCGUCACACCCCGGAAGUUAAUAUUGGCAGAAAUCGUUGAGCUAACCCGCAAGGGAGGCAGGCGAACAAGCUAGUAUGGAUGACCGGGGUGAAGUCGUAACAAGGUAACCCUAGGAGAACCUGGGGUUAGAUUACCUCCUUU